UCCUUUCAACCUCUGAUGUCCUAUUUGUCUCUGACCAGGCUGCUUUUUCCCACUCCACAGGCCCAGGGCUCCUCCUCUGCUGCCUCUGAGAAUAUCUACCAGGCUCUGCACGUCACCGAAGCAGAUGUUUAUGACAAGAUCACGCCCUGUAAGAAACCUCCAGCCCUUGGAAAAGGGAAAAUCACCAAGUCCUAGACUGUAGACCUAGAAGAAAUCUCAGAGGCCAUUGAAUCCAAGCCCUUCAUUUUUAUGCAUGAGGAACCCAAGGCACAUAGCUAGAAAGUGUCUUGGGUUGGAUUUGAAUCCAGGUCUUUCUUACUCCGGAUCUAGUGCCCUAUCCUCUGUACCUCACUACCUCUAACUGGUCCCUAGAGAAGCUUUCACAGUUUGACCAGUUCCCAUCAUUAAAGGGGGGGUGGGGUUCACACUCAGCUUUCAGGGGAGAAAGCUGAGAGACCAGAGGUGAGGAGGGGCCCAUUGGAAGAGAGAGAGAGGAAAGGAUAAGGGUUGGGAAGAGGCGAGGCAUCCAGAAAGGAAAGGGGCCAGGGCUACACAUGUCUGAGCCAGAUGGAAUCCCAAUCACACAGUGGCUGGACUUUAGACAAGGGAUCCUUGCUCCAUGAACCCAACAAUAUCAACACCUCUAUAUUUUCCUCUAAAAUGCCCAUACCCUCUGAGUCAAAAACCCCUCUAUUAGUGAUCUACAUUCUGGAGGUCACAAAAAGCUCCAGAAUGUAGAUCACUAAUAGAGGGGGUUUUGACACCAAAAUAUUCAUCUCAGCCCUUUUCUGUGGUCACAAAUAACUGGGAAUGGGGGCAACUAGGUGGCAGUGGAUAGAGCACUGGCCCUGGAGCCAGGAGGACCUGAGUUCAAAUCUGGCCUCAGACUUGACACCUACUCGACACUUGACACUUACUAGCUCUGUGACCCUAGGCAAGUCAUUUAGCUCCAUUGCCUAGCAAAAAAAAAAACCCAAAAAACAAAAAACGAAACAAACAAAAAAAGAAACCAAAUAACUGAGAACAAAUUAGGCCAUCAUCAGUUGGGGGAAGGAUGAACAAAUUGUGGAAUGUGAAUAGAAUGAAAUAUUACUGCACCAAAGGAAAUGAUAAGUAUGAAAAGGGCAGAGAAACAUGAGAAGAAUUACCUGAACUGAUACAGAGUGUAGUAAGUAAUAUUUAGAAGGGGGAGGGGAAUCAUGCACAGUGACUGCACAGUGACCAAGCCUGUCCCUGGGGAGAGUAUGAAAGAAUGUACUACACUCGCUUCUUUGUAGAGGUGGGAGACUAUGUAUGGGUGCUGAAUGCUGCAUGUCAGAUUCAAUCUGUUGGUUAGUUUUGUUGUAUUGCUCAUUUUUUUAUUCUUUCUUGUUAUUCUUUGUUACAAGCAGUGGCUUGUGUAGGGAAUAAGAAGAGAGAUUUAGAAAUGUCAGUGAUGUGAAAACAAAAUACGUAAAUAAUUUGCUCAACUGAACCUAACAUUCUUCCUCUGCCACCUCCUCCUCCUCACUCCCCCAAGCUGGUACCUCCUACAGGCUUCCCUGUUUCUGUUGAAGUCAACUCUAUCCUACUAGGCACCCAAGUUUGUAACUUCAGAGCCAUCCUUGACUCUUCACACUAAGUGUUACCUGAGGUCCAAAGGGAGUAGUUCCUGGGAAGGCUGCCCAAGGGAAGUGGCACCUGAAUUGUACAUUGAAGGAUGGAGACAAAUUCCAGGUAGAUUGGUGUUAGUGGUAAAAAUGGUCUGCCACCAUACCACCCCAAAAAAGAGGGCAAAUCUGGGUAUGGUUUCCAAAGUUCCAGAUAAUACCCCAUCACUCAGGAGUCAGGUCUGGGAGUUUUAAAAAUGAAGAGAAAAAUGUCCAAGAGGCUGAAGAAUGUUGGGGAUGGGGGGAAUAAAUAGCUAGCUGGCCCCUCUUUCUACUAAAGA
rnacentral:lncRNA from 1 species